CAGGGGUACUUUAUCAUGAGCCACAUGCCCAGCUUUUUCUCUUUUGACACAGGGUCUUGCUAAGUUGUUUAGGGCCUUGCUAAAUUGCUGCAGCUGGCUUUGAACUUCCAAUCCUCCUGUGUUGGCCUCCGGAAUCCCUGGAUUACAGGGGAGAUGUACUGGGAUCCAAUCCAGGGCUUCAUCAGAGCUGGUCAAGGGCUCUAUUACUGAGCUACAUUCCAAGGCUUUUUUUAUUUUGAGACAGUGUCUGACUGUUGCCCAGGCUUGCAUCCAACUUGUGAUCUUCUAGCCUCCAGAGUAGCUGGGAUUAUAGAUAUCUGCAACCACAAAAUAUUUUGCAUUUUCAGAAAAGUGUUCAACUGCAGUAUGGUUUGCAUAUAUGUAUUAACAUACCAUGUAGAAAAAUUCGGGUUAAAACUGAAUGAAAUAUUUACUGCUAUACUAAACAAGGUCUACUGCCUAAUUAGCUGUGUAGUCUCUGGAAAGUUACUUGAACUCACUGUGCCUUAGAAUUUCUUCUCUAAAGUGGGGAUAGCUGCAUCUACCUCAAAGGAUUGUUAGGAUAUCAGUUAAGUGCAGAGAACCUACCUACUGUUGAGUGUGUCCUUUUAUAACAAAUUUUAAACCUUCAGUGUGGUCUGUGACAUUUGGAUAGAAAUCUUGUACAAAUUCCUCUUUGGUCUCCCCCAUCCGUCUCUAUGAUCUCUUCUUUGCAUAUAAGAACCCAAGUAUUUAUGCACCAGAAACGAGUUACUAUAGUAACUAGAAGAGGGAAAAAGGCCCAGAAGAGUUGAAAAUGCCAUUCUUGCUGUUCUGUUUUAAUUAAAAACUCUAAAAGGCAUACCCACUUGGACGUUACUUAAUUAACAACUGGUAAGGAAAAGAUUGAAGCAGCAAACUUAAGGAUGUCGAAAAGUUCUGUUGACCAACAUGGAGGACCACAGUUACAGCUGGACUAAGUGAAAAUACUUUUAUCGGGUCCUUUGAGUAUCCUGUAGAAAAUCAGACAGAAAAAGAAAUCAGUACUCUAGUGUGAACAUGAGCGCUGGAAGAGCGCUCCUGUCUUCCAAGCGGUUCCUGCGCUUCGUUGCGGCUUUGGGCCCGGCUGCGGUGUGGCUGGCGGAAGGCGGCUUUGCACCCCUGCAGCGACAACCAUGAGAGGCGAGCGUACUGCAGCGUGGCCAGGCAGCCCCGGCGGGAAGACGGCCCCGGGUCGCGGUCUGCACCUACCAGCGCUUAGGCGAGGCAAGUGCGCGGCCGGGGCUGCAACUGGCGCUGGCGACGCUUGCGCUGGCCGUUGAGGAGCCUCUGCGUGACCUUGCGCUCGUGGCCGCCGGGCACCGGCCGGUUGGUGCGCAGUUCCUGCUCGCGCCGCGUCCGGCCCUUGCUGCGCCCCGCCCCGGAGGCCGGGAAGUCACGCAGGUAGUGGUAGUCGAGGCAGUCGUACAGCUCCUCCUCGUAGUUCACCGGCAGCUUCGCCUCAGCUGGCGGCGGCCGGGCCCGGCUGACGCGGAGAUAAGCAGGCUCGGGGCUUGGCUCCAUCGCGCCCCGCCGCGGAGGAGCCAGCCCUUGCGGGCCCCUGGAGGGCGGAGCGGCCCGGCCCUCCGAUUGGCUCCGCCGGAGGGGCGGGGCGAAAGGGCAAGUUGCCCGCCUCGCGCUCCCAUUGGCUCCGCAUGGAGGGGCGUGGCCAGGGUGGAGCUUUGCUGCGGUCAUAGAGCCCCGAAGGUGCUGGCCUGGCCGGCGAUGGUGACAGCCUGGUGAUAGUCGCUGCGGGCUGAAGAAGGUUGGCUGGCGAACUCCUCUCAGCAUUCUGUUUGUGCUGGCCUGCAGGCGAGAAUCAUCCAGAAAACCUCCAUCCAGGCUGAGCCCAGGCAUCCAGGACAUUACCAGGGGGCUCUGUCCUGAAGGGGAGGCUGUUCAGGGUCGACCAACCACAGAAGCCCUCAGAGGAGGGCCAGGAGAGUUCUGUGCUGGCUGGAAACCAUUUCCACCUGCAGAUCUACAGCAAGGUAAAGGGGUCCCUCCAAAGGAUGUAAAGGAUGGAAGUAUGGGGGUCUCUGUUUUAUCUUGUUGGUAUAUUCCAGAACCACCAGAUGUGUAAUUUUAUGAUUUCAAUGCCAUGAAAUACUAGAGCCAACAUUCACACCUGCAUAAAGAAUUGUGGAAUCUGUGCUUUGGCUAAUCAUUCUCUCUUCCCCCUUAGGCAACUCAUAUGGGCAAUCAGAUAUCCACAACAGAGGGCAGACCAUUCAUGUGUCUCCCCCAUCAUUGACAGGGGUUAGCUACUCAGUGAUGACCAAGGGACAGAUGGUCUUUCUCUGUAACAUGUUAUGGCUAUAGUAUGAUCAGGGAGACCAAGAACAAUGGCCCAAUGUUGGGUAUCUACAUUACAAUACUAGACCAUUCUCUGCAACAGAAAGGAAGAAGGGGAGAAAAUUCCCCACGCAGUGUCUUAUGGCUUUAUAUCAAACUGAAGGACUCCAAAAGAAAUGUAAUUAACCAACCUGAAGCUUAAACCUUUGAUGAAAUAAGGAAACCCCUUCCUGCUCUUUGAAAGACCUCCUGAGGAAGAAGACCUACUUUACUUUCCCAUGGGUGGAGAGGUGACUCCCCUGCUUCUCAGUUCCUGCUGAGCAGGUGGAUCCGCCUUCUCCACACCCUUCUCAUCCUGAGCUCCUUUUCCAGAUGUUUCUCCCAGAGCCUCUGCACCCAGACCCUCCCUUAAACUAAAACCCCUUCUUCCUGAAGCACCACCAGGCAUGGGGCCAAUUACCAGCCAGGAAAGAUUUUUUUCUCCAGCGACAGGUUCCCAAUGGACAGGGGCAUUUUGUUUACAUGCGUGUGCCUUGUGUGACCUCUGAUUUGUACAGCUGGGAAGCACAUGGCCAAGGUCUGAGGGCAGACUCAGGAAGAUGCAUUUGUCUUAUGAGGGGUAUCUACAACCCACAACUCAGCCUGAGAAGAUAGUCACACUUUCCUUUCCACCUUCCAACCAAAGAAGUCAAGCCAGCUGCACUGGCAGAGGCUAAAACGAAGGCUGAUAAGCUGCAUGCAAAUCAUGAAACCAGCUUGGUGACCUGGUGAAUAGCUCCAGGGGACCCUCAUUUUUAAAGUCCCAACUGAGUGGCAGGAGGAGCCAGUUCCCUACAUACUCAGAGAAUGCAGGAAGCUAGCAAACCCAAAGUUAAUUGGGGCAAACAGGGAAAUUCACCAGAAGCCAAAGAAGGAUCCUUCAGCCUUCAUGCAGAGGUUGAGAAACCAUCUUCAAAGAAUAUACCCCUUGGCAUCCAGAAGGGAACAGUAGCCAGAUAACCCCAAAUACCUACUUCCUAUCUCAGUGUGCUCCUGAUGUCUGAAUAGAACUCCAAAAAUUGGUCAUGAGUCCAAAGACUAACCCUUCUCUACUGGUAGAGAUUGCCUUUAAAAUUUACAGCAGAGAUGUGACUGGAGAGAGGGAGUAGAACAAAACAGAAAAAGCAAGCUGUCCCCAUGGCAGUGGCACUCCUGUCCCUUCCAAUGACCCAGGAGGAAGAAAGAAGCUGACUCAGGUUUUCUCCCUCCUCCUCCAAUGAAGAAAAGACAGAAAGCAAACAGGGCAAGUCUUCAAUGGUCUCCUAUCUCACGGGGUGGACGACAGACAAGCAGGGAAAGAUCUGGUUGCCAAAAAGGGUGGCCUUGGCCACAGCUAACUCUCCCUGAAAGAGGAGCUGUACAACGGGCUUCCUGGAGGACUGGGGACGCCACGUUCAGAGAUCGCAGCUAAUCUAACGAAACAGCUUGCUCCAGCUGGCGGCAAAUAACAUUCAAACGAGGCCUCCCGCAACCUGUUAGAAAGGGCAGUGCCAGCCAGAGCCAUGCAGCCUGGAAGCACUGGCGGGUGGCUUCUACACUCAUGGCAGCCAUCCCAGCAGGAUUUAGUAUCUCUCAGUUUCAGUGGUACUUGUUCUGGCUGGAUAAAGCCUUACCUUGCAGAAUGGAAAAAGCAGAAGUUACAAAAGGACUUUUUUUCCUCCCAAGGAGUGCUCGACCACUGGGCUACAUCCCCAGCCCUUUUUAUUUAUGUAUUUAUUUUAUUUGUAU